UACAGAGGUGGCAAGCGUUGUUCGGAAUUACUGGGCGUAAAGGGCGCGUAGGCGGUCCUGUAAGUCCUGUGUGAAAUCCCCCGGCUCAACUGGGGAAUUGCACGGGAAACUGCGGGGCUUGAGUUCGGGAGAGGGAAGCGGAAUUCCGGGUGUAGCGGUGAAAUUCGUAGAUAUUCGGAGGAACACCAGUGGCGAAGGCGGCUCACUGGCUCGGUACUGACGCUGAGAUGCGAAAGCGUGGGGAGCAAACAGG
rnacentral:rRNA from 1 species